CCUAGGGGAGGCAGCAGUGAGGAAUAUUGGUCAAUGGACGAGAGUCUGAACCAGCCAAGUAGCGUGAAGGAUGACUGCCCUAUGGGUUGUAAACUUCUUUUAUAUGGGAAUAAAAUGUUCCACGUGUGGGAUUUUGUAUGUACCAUAUGAAUAAGGAUCGGCUAACUCCGUGCCAGCAGCCGCGGUAAUACGGAGGAUCCGAGCGUUAUCCGGAUUUAUUGGGUUUAAAGGGAGCGUAGGUGGCAUGUAAAGUCAGGUGUUAAAGGCGCAGGCUCAACCUGUGUAUGGCACUUGAUACUUGCAAGCUGGAAUGCGGUAGAGGUAAAGGGAAUUCCUGGUGUAGCGGUGAAAUGCUUAGAUAUCAGGAGGAACAUCGGUGGCGUAAGCGCUUUACUGGGCCGUAAUUGACGCUGAGGAACGAAAGCCAGGGUAGCAAAUGGGAUUAGAUACCCCGGUAGUC
rnacentral:rRNA from 1 species